rnacentral:rRNA from 1 species
UACGUAGGGUGCGAGCGUUAAUCGGAAUUACUGGGCGUAAAGCGUGCGCAGGCGGUUUUGUAAGACAGAUGUGAAAUCCCCGGGCUUAACCUGGGAACUGCGUUUGUGACUGCAAGACUCGAGUACGGCAGAGGGGGGUGGAAUUCCACGUGUAGCAGUGAAAUGCGUAGAGAUGUGGAGGAACACCGGUGGCGAAGGCGGCAUCCUGGACCGGCAUUGACGCUGAGGCGCGAAAGCCAGGGGAGCAAACGGG